rnacentral:rRNA from 1 species
CCUACGGGAGGCAGCAGUAGGGAAUAUUGCUCAAUGGAGGAAACCCUGAAGCAGCAACGCCGCGUGGAUGAUGAAGGUUUUCGGAUUGUAAAGUCCUUUUCUUAGAGAAGAUAAUAGCGACGUCUAACUAAUAAUCAGCCGCUAACUCCUACCCAGCAGCCGCGGUAAUACGGAGUGUGCAAGCGUUACUCGGAAUCACUGGGCGUCAAGAGGGCGUAGGCGGUGUAUCAAGUUAGAUGUGAAAUCCUAUGGCUCAACUAUAGAACUACAAUUAAAACUGUUAUUCUAGAGUACGGGAGGGGCAAGUGGAAUUCCUGGUGUAGGGGUAGAAUCCGUAGAGAUUAGGAGGAACACUAGUUGCGAAGGCGAAUUGCUAGACUGUAACUGACGCUGAGGCGCGAAAGCGUGGGGAGCAAACAGGAUUAGAUACCCCUGUAGUC